UACGUAGGGUGCAAGCGUUGUCCGGAAUUAUUGGGCGUAAAGAGCUCGUAGGCGGUUUGUCGCGUCUGCUGUGAAAACCCGAGGCUCAACCUCGGGCCUGCAGUGGGUACGGGCAGACUAGAGUGCGGUAGGGGAGAUUGGAAUUCCUGGUGUAGCGGUGGAAUGCGCAGAUAUCAGGAGGAACACCGAUGGCGUAGGCAGUCUACUGGCUCAUUACUGACACUCAGGCACGAAAGCGUGGGUAGCAAACGGG
rnacentral:rRNA from 1 species